UGGUGGAGUGAUUUGUCUGGUUAAUUCCGUUAACGAACGAGACCUCGACCUACUAAAUAGUUGGCUCAACUCUUUGGGUUGACGUCCGCUUCUUAGAGGGACUAUCGGUUUGUAGCCGAUGGAAGUUCGAGGCAAUAACA
rnacentral:rRNA from 1 species